CAAAUGAGCUGGCAUCGUCUGCUAGCUUUCGAAAAUUCUCAUUUCUCAUGUGUGCUCAGUCAGUUUAGUAGGGGAUUCUUGGUAUAUUUAUGUGCCUAUUGAGGUACAUUUAUUUAUGAUCGCAUGAGAUUACAGAGCUUUUUGGUGUUGUAAUCAUCAUUCGAAAAGAAAGAAUGGCCGAAGAAAAUUCCACCGAUGAAUUAAUAGAAGAGAAGGCUGAAGAGUUGGACGGCGAGGAAGAAUUAUUGGCUCGGCACCGGAAGGAAAAAAAAGAUAUUCAAGCAAAGAUUCAAGCUUUGAAGAAGACAGCAACGAAAGGAGACAAAAAGAAAAAGAAGGACGUGGCUGAGGAGAUUGCCAAGCUAGAAACUGAAAUAGAGACUAAACAUGCUGCAGAAUUGAAGAAAUUUCAGGAAUCCACAGCUGAAACCAAGAAAAUCUCUGAGCAACUAGAAGAUGUAAACUUGGCAGCCAAGGGUGAAGGAAAAGUCACAAAGGCUCAAAGAAGAAGAGACAAAAAACAGGACCAAGCCAAAGAAAGGGUGCAGUUGAUUGAAGAACAGGAGAAAGCUAAUCUUUUGGGAGUCAGGCACACUGAAACCCAGAAAAUCAAAGCAAUACUGGCCAAGCAAAAUCUGACUUUCUUUGAAAUACCAUCUGAUGGCAACUGCAUGUUCGCGGCCAUACUGCACCAAAUUAACCGCGGAGGUGUCUCACAGUCUGUGCAGCAACUUCGCAAUCUUGCGGCAGAAUUUAUGCGUUCAAACGUGGACGAUUUCAUGCCGUUCAUGGACGAGGUGGAAAACGAAGAACAAUACAUGAAAUACUGCGACGAUCUCCAACGAACCGCCACGUGGGGUAGCCAGCUGGAGUUGCGAGCUUUAAGUCAAGUUUUACGACGUCCCUUUGAAGUCGUGCAGGCUGAAGGUCGUCCUGUUAUCAUAGGCGAAGAAUUCACGGAUCCAUCAUCUACUCCGGUACUGCUCACUUACCAUCGCCACAUGUACGGCUUGGGAGAACAUUACAACAGCGUCCAGCCUCGGCCAGCCGACGACGAGGACAAUGACGGCGGCCAAUAAACCAACAUCCCGCCAUCUCUCUCAGUAAUCUCCCACCUUCACCCAAAAGUAAAUGGCCAUGCGCAGGAGGAGAAGAAGAAGAAGAAGAAGUUCCUUUUGAUAAUAAAUCAGAUGAGAAAAUAAAAAAUAAAACGAGGAGAGAGAUUGGAAUCUUUG
rnacentral:misc_RNA from 1 species